AGUGAACGCUGGCGGUAGGCCUAACACAUGCAAGUCGAACGGCAGCACAGUAAGAGCUUGCUCUUACGGGUGGCGAGUGGCGGACGGGUGAGGAAUACAUCGGAAUCUACUUUUUCGUGGGGGAUAACGUAGGGAAACUUACGCUAAUACCGCAUGCGACCUACGGGUGAAAGCAGGGGAUCUUCGGACCUUGCGCGAUUGAAUGAGCCGAUGUCGGAUUAGCUAGUUGGCGGGGUAAAGGCCCACCAAGGCGACGAUCCGUAGCUGGUCUGAGGGGAUGAUCAGCCACACUGGAACUGAGACACGGUCCAGACUCCUACGGGAGGCAGCAGUGGGGAAUAUUGGACAAUGGGCGCAAGCCUGAUCCAGCCAUACCGCGUGGGUGAAGAAGGCCUUCGGGUUGUAAAGCCCUUUUGUUGGGAAAGAAAAGCAGCAGGUUAAUACCCCGCUGUUCUGACGGUACCCAAAGAAUAAGCACCGGCUAACUUCGUG
rnacentral:rRNA from 1 species